CCUUUCAACUUUAAACUUUGCUGACUCUAAAAUUUUGAAAGAAGAGAAGAUGGAAGAGUUGUUUGAAGAACUGAAGACUAAUGGUUCAAUAGGAUGGGCUGUUGAUGUCAUAGAUCCUAGAGAUCUAUCUGCCAAAAUGUUGAAGAAGAAUAAAAUAAACCUUAAUGAGAUAUGGCAUGAAUCUGCCAUGGGCCUGGUCAGGAGGGCAUUGGGCAUGGGUGUUUUAUUAUCAGAGGUAAAUUUAUAGAGUAUAAAUUUGACACAAUAUGCAUGCAUAUGGAAACUUGUGUUGAGUUCUCAAAGUCCAGCUAAUGAUGUAUAGUUCACUUUACAUACAAGGAAAUCAUUUAUGCUUCUUUUUCUUCUUCAUACAUAUGCUCAUCUUUUCAUUAUUUGCUUCAAACUUUUUCUGUUUAUUAUAAAUGCUUAGAUUGGGUAGCUCAAAGCUAACAUUCCUAGGGGAAGCAGGAUGAUGGUGAAAAACUAUCUAUCCAGUGC